rnacentral:rRNA from 1 species
AUCCAGACUCCUACGGGAGGCAGCAGUGGGGGAUAUUGCACAAUGGGGGAAACCCUGAUGCAGCGACGCCGCGUGGGUGAAGAAGCGCCUCGGCGCGUAAAGCCCUGUCAGCAGGGAAGAAAAUGACGGUACCUGAGGAAGAAGCCCCGGCUAACUACGUGCCAGCAGCCGCGGUAAUACGUAGGGGGCAAGCGUUAUCCGGAUUUACUGGGUGUAAAGGGGGCGCAGACGGCAGCGCAAGCCAGGAGUGAAAGGCCGGGGCCCAACCCCGGGACUGCGCUUGGAACUGCGCGGCUGGAGUGCAGGAGGGGAAGGCGGAAUUCCUGGUGUAGCGGUGAAAGGCGUAGAUGUCAGGAGGAACACCGGUGGCAAAGGCGGCCUGCUGGACUGCGACUGACGUUGAGGCCCGAAAGCGUGGGGAGCAAACAGGAUUAGAUACCCUUGUAUU